rnacentral:rRNA from 1 species
AGAGUUGAUCAUGGCUCAGAACGAACGCUGGCGGCGCGUUUAAGCAUGCAAGUCGAGCGGCAAGGGCCUUCGGGCCCCUAGAGCGGCGGACGGGUGAGUAACACGUGGACAAUCUGCCCCCCGGCCCGGGAUAGCCCAGGGAAACCUGGAUUAAUACCGGAUGAGACGGGACCCGCGAUGGCGGGACCCGGGAAAGGCGCUGCGGCGCCGCCGGGGGAUGAGUCUGCGUCCCAUUAGCUAGACGGCGGGGUAACGGCCCACCGUGGCGACGAUGGGUAGCCGGCCUGAGAGGGUGGACGGCCACAUUGGAACUGAGACACGGUCCAGACUCCUACGGGAGGCAGCAGCUAAGAAUCUUCCGCAAUGGGCGAAAGCCUGACGGAGCCGACGCCGCGUGAACGAAGAAGGCCGUGAGGUUGUAAAGUUCUUUUCGGGAGGGGGAACAACCGUGGCAGGGAAUGGCCGCGGGAUGACGUGAAUCCCGGAAUAAGCCCCGGCUAACUACGUGCCAGCCGCGGC